rnacentral:rRNA from 1 species
GACGAACGCUGGCGGCGUGCUUAACACAUGCAAGUCGAGCGGUAAGGCCCUUUCGGGGGUACGACGAGCGGCGAACGGGUAGGAGUAACAACGUGGGUGGACCUCGCCCUUACGUCUCUGGGAGUAAAGACCUCGGGAAACGUAGGGUCGUAAUACCGGAUAUGACUCCAUGACGCAUGUUGUGGGGUGGGAAAGCCUUGUGCGGCUAGGGAGUGGGCCCGGCCGGCCUAUCAGCUUGUU